UUGCUAUUAUUGUUUAAACGGAUUUAAGAAAAUUGAAAGUGCCCCAAAAAUGGCGGAUUUCGUCAUCGUGAGAAAGGCUAAUAUUCCUCCUCACACUCCUCCCCCCGGGAUUUUGAUUCUGGUUUAACUGCAGCCUCGUUCACAGGCGCUUUAAAUGCAAAUAUUUUUUGCCAGAAAUACGAUUUCUGACAAAUCGAGCUUUUCGGCGUUUUACUCGUGCAUUCUUGUGUUUUUGGUGGUUUGUGGCCAUAUGAAUGACCUGGAGCAAUCACUGAAGAAGUUCUCAUUUGACGCAUCUUCAAGUUCUGAUGAUUUGGAUUUAUCGUCGCUUGGGGGACAAAAUGUUCCAAAUGGAUGUCUGGGUCAAUAAACCACCAUAACGCAUGGAGAUUAAAAUUUAAUUUGAAAUAUAAUUCAUAUAUACACUAUAAUU